rfam:Capsicum annuum cultivar Zunla-1 chromosome 9, whole genome shotgun sequence
UGAUGAUGAUGAGGGUAAUUUUUUAGAAUACUUUUAAAUUUCUCCCAGGCUUAGUAGAGAUUUUCUCCUUUCUUUUUGUCUGAAAUUUAGAAUCUCGCUUCUCAAACG